GGGCGGGUCGCAUAGUUGGCCUAGUGCGGUGGUUUGCUAAACCGCUAAGGGAGCAAUCCCUUCGAGAGUUCGAAUCUCUCCUCGCCCGCCA
rnacentral:tRNA from 1 species